GCUCCCGGGGGCACCACCGGGGGCUCCCGGGGGCACCACCUGGGACUCCUUGGCUCCCUGAAAUCCGGGUGGCGCUGCAGUCCUGAUCCCCCCGGCCUGCGUCUCCCCAACUUUCCCGCUGAAUCUUCCAGUUCCGCGCCACCCUCCACCUCCCGUUGUGGGCACAGUAGGGCCCUUCCGGAAACCGGAUCCUGGAUUGCGUUCCAUAUCCCCAGAUAGUGGAAUGCUUGUGGAAUUAACGUCGUCAUCAAAUACAUUGAGCUCCAGCCACAAGCUGGGGUUGGAGUAUAUGAGCUGCUGAAGUGAGCACAGGCUAAGAUUUGUAAAUCUUACCUGGGUGAUGCUUUCCCACACACUCCUGUGGGUGUCGGCAGGAUUCAGUUCCUCACAGGCUGUUGGACUGAGGGCCUCAGUUCUUCGCUGGCUCUUGGCCAGAGGUCUCCCUCAGCUCCUUGCCACGUGGGCCUUUCCGGUGGGCCGCUUGCUUCAUCAGAGCAAGCGAGCAGGAAGGAGAGCAGGCAGGCAAGAUGGAAGCCACGGUCCUUUGUAUCCCAUCACUUUUGCCAUAUUCUGUUCAUUAGAUUCGAGUCACUUGGUCCAGCCUACACUCAAAGAAAGGGUUUUAUACCAGGGCACGAAUACCAGGUGGCAGGGAUCAUGGGGCCAUCUUAGGAAGCUCUCUGCCACAACAACUAAACCCCGAGCUGCAGUGCCUUUUCAUAACCUAACCAAUGAAUGACAUUUCAUCAUUUCCGCUAUAUGUUAUUGGUCACACAGACCAUCCCUAGUAUAAUAUGGGAGAGGACUACAUGGGGGGUGAAUUCCAGGGGGUGGAGGUCACUGGGGGCCAUACUAGAGGCUGACACCACAGCCCAACCAAUGAAUUUCUCCCCUUCAUCCAGCUUUGAGCCCCCAGAGGCUGGCUUAUGUGGACACAUCAGUGGGCUCUCUGGCUUCUGGUCAGAUGCAGCCAAUGGGGAGCACCGGCAAGGAUGGAGUGAAGUAGGGGUACAUAUUCCCCUAGCUCCCUCAUUGCAGGCUGGCUGCACCUUCAACUGAAGGCCACAGGACCUGUCAGGUGGCACUAACAGUCAUCUGAACUACCCUUCAUGAAUUUAGUUUCACCUGAUCCAUAAAAUUGGAUGUACACAGAAACAUUCCACUGUAAAGAGGAAAGUGGGUCUACAGGACUGGGCCUGAAAAUGACAGAUUCCCGUAACACCUGCUUCGACCACUCCUCAACCCACACGUACAGACUCAGGGGAUCCCCGUGUCCGGUCCGUGACACCUGCAUAAUGUGCUGGCAUGAGCCAGACGUGAGCAGCUAUUGUAUUACAGCCUCACUUGGGUGCAGCUCUGAAAAGACAGUGGCGAAGGGAAAUCAUCUCAGAUGCUAGAACGUUGAGUGGAUGACUGGUUUUCCACUUCUUACAUGAGUGGGGAUGGCCUGAGGGACUGAUGGACACUGGCUAAAGGGUUGCCCAGUUGAUCAGAGACUUGGAAAGAACAAGAUUAGAGAUUAGGGAUGGCAGUCUGGUGGGGAAGUAUGUGGAUGAAUUUUUCUGCAUGGGCCCAGAAUGUGAAGAUAUCUUGCCCUGUGUAAAUACCCAGGAGAAGGCAUUCAGUAUAGAGGAGAUCUUUGUAAACUGUGGAUGUUGGCCUUUCCCACUCACACCCCCACCCCCAGCCCAAGACCCCCAGUGCUUGUUCAAAGAAACCAUAUACAAAGUCGCCGUAGUAACAGGAUGGAGGCUAUGCAUGGGUUCAACGGCAUGGGCUGCCCUUCAUCAAGGCUGAUCUGGCUGCCUGACUACCACUGCGGAGGACCCAGCCUGACAACAGCAGAAGCCAGCUUUGAGGACCUGAUAGGACACUAAUCUUUGGGGGGACCAGGUGUCCAGCUGGUGGCUGGUGGGUUACAUUCAACUCCUGGAGGAGGCAGCAAUAUGCCUGUCAACUGUAGAGUGGUUGUCCACAUGCGGCUGUACCCUCCCUGCCUGCCGCCCUGGCAUCUGCGGACUUAGAGAAUGCUAUGUCCAUCUCCGCAGUACACAGCAUCUUCUCUAACCAGGGAACACAUUUUCAAUGAAGGAAGUGUGACAGUGGGCGCAUAACUGUGGAGUUCACUGUGUAAUCAUGUGCUUUGUGUCAAAUUAGAUUAUUGCUUAAAAUAUUCACACAUGCUUCCCUUUUCUAUGUGAGAGAAAUGUACUUUGCUGCUUCAUUCAUGUUGGGCUUGGCCAUGUGGAUUUUCUCUGACCAUGGGAGGUGGGCAGAUGUGAUGCAAGCAAAGGUUUAAACUGUACUUGUACAGUUGAGUUUGUUUUCUUGCUCCUCCCAUCAUGAGAAGAGUGAACCCCAAGUGGCCCACUGGUCCAAGGAAGGUGAUAGAAAUGUGACCUGGACCCAGUCUGCAGCUUGGAGCCAAGCCCAUCGGAACCCAGCCCACACCAGCUUGACUCCUAGAUGCAUGAGUGAGAAUAAAUGAUUGUGUUUUGCCUCUGAGUUUUGGAGCAGUUACACAGCUUUAUUGUGGCAAUAGUAGACUGAUACAUGCCCCAUUACCCAGAAGCAUCUGGCUUAAAAGAGAGCUGUAUAGCCUACUGGGAGGCAGUUACGACACCCUGCGAGGUGUGAUAGACAGUGUUGGGUGCAAUCUCCCCCAUAGUGGAAUGCAUAUUAUUAUUUUUUUGUAUGUUUGUUGGUUUCAAACAAUUCUCCAGGUAUUUUCGUUUCUGUGAAGGAGUUGAAAUGUGUGACCCACACUGAGGCCAGUAGGCAGAAAUCUUUACUGUUCUUUGCGCAAGGGAAGGACAACCUCUCCUAACACCAGUGAGGACCACAGGAAAUGGAAGUGGGAGAAGGGAACACAGCUCCAGGGCUACUGCAGGCCAGCCCCUCUGCCCACUACCCUCAGCCUCUACCCCCAGUAAUAAAAACAAAGUGGUCGGGUCGCACCUCCUCUUUCCCAGGGCGGUUCUCUCCUCAUUUACCCACAGCCGGCAUUGAACUUGCCUCUGCUCUGUGUCUGGUAGGUGGCCCAUACAUGUCACCACCGGAUUGUAGGUAAGAGGCCAUCCUGGCAUCCUUCCAGAGCACUUAGCACAGAGCCUUGCUCUCAGUAAGUGAUUGGUAUCAUUCUGUUGGGGGGACAAUCUCGUUUAGUCCAGCCUCCCUCCGGAAGCAGAACUUCCCUUACAGCAUCGCGGAAGGGGUCACUUCCAAGAACAAACUGAAGUUUGACGGUGCUCAUGAGUGCAUGAAUAAAUGAAUGAAUUCAGUGAAUGGCAUUGCUCUUUUCUCCUCAUCUGACUGUGGCCUGCUGGGAGCACCCUCGUCUAGCGGUCCUCGAUGUUUCGGCCCUACGCCCAGUCAGGGUUGUUCUAGUCUCUCGGCGGACGUCCCCUUCGCUCAAGCGAAGUCGCGGUCCUAACACUGUAAUGGCCCCCGAGGGCCACCGUAGCUGGCCGCCGACUUGCGCUUAAAGCCCUCGCUGGCGGCGGCGCCAUUUUGUCUCCGGGCACUUCCGCGUGUGCGCACCUGGUCCUGCUUUUCCGGCUGCGCGCGCAUCUCUCAGUUGUGGGCAGGCCGGACCUCGAGCGAUGCUUUCAGCGCUUCAUCUCCGAGCAAACUCACAGGCGUCUUUAGAGCUUUCUCAGGCACUCAGUUAUUUGCUCCUCAAAACAGUUUCGGAGAGAGAAGAGGCAGAAAUCACUGUCACCUGAAGCAAACGCCUCAGCUCUCCACGGUUCGCCUGUAUUCUGCCGUUCCAUCGGCGAUGACCGCAUCCAGGGGAUAGCG